GAUGAACGCUAGCGGGAGGCUUAACACAUGCAAGUCGAGGGGCAGCACGAGAUAGCAAUAUUUUGGUGGCGACCGGCGCACGGGUGAGUAACACGUAUGCAACCUGCCCUGAACAGGGGGAUAACCCGGAGAAAUUCGGACUAACAUCCCAUCAUGAUAUAGAUAGGCAUCUUUUAAUAUUUAAAGCUUCGGCCGUACAGGAUGGGCAUGCGGACCAUUCGCUAGUUGGUAGGGUAACGGCCUACCAAGGCUACGAUGUUUAGGGGACCUGAGAGGGUGAUCCCCCACACUGGUACUGAGACACGGACCAGACUCCUACGGGAGGCAGCAGUGAGGAAUAUUGGUCAAUGGGCGUAAGCCUGGACCAGCCAUCCCGCGUGCAGGUAGAAGGCGCUAUGCGUUGUAAACUGCUUUUUCGGGGGGAGAAUUGUCACGACGUGUCGUGGCUUGACGGUACCCCGGGAAUAAGCAUCGGCUAACUCCGUGCCAGCCGCCGCUGUAAAAC
rnacentral:rRNA from 1 species